rnacentral:rRNA from 1 species
AACGAACGCUGGCGGCAGGCUUAACACAUGCAAGUCGAACGCAUCCUUCGGGGUGAGUGGCAGACGGGUGAGUAACGCGUGGGAACGUGCCCUUCAGUUUGGAAUAACCCAGGGAAACUUGGGCUAAUACCGGAUACGCCCUUCGGGGGAAAGAUUUAUCGCUGAAGGAUCGGCCCGCGUCUGAUUAGCUGGUUGGUAGGGUAAUGGCCUACCAAGGCGACGAUCAGUAGCUGGUCUGAGAGGAUGAUCAGCCACAUUGGGACUGAGACACGGCCCAAACUCCUACGGGAGGCAGCAGUGGGGAAUAUUGGACAAUGGGCGCAAGCCUGAUCCAGCCAUGCCGCGUGAGUGAUGACGGCCUUAGGGUUGUAAAGCUCUUUCGCACGCGACGAUAAUGACGGUAGCGUGAGAAGAAGCCCCGGCUAACUUCGUGCCAGCCGCCGCCGUAACAC